UUGAUGGUGUGUCUCCAAAGCACUUUGAUGCCGAGCAGAGUUGGAGCUCCAGUGACAGCCACAUGGAACUGCAAACCUGCUGGGGGCUGCCUCUUAUUGCUGACCUUCACAUGGAAAGCCUUGAGUGCUGGGAGGAUGGCAGGCAGUAUAAAAAUCCUAAAAAAGUUGAACAUUCAGCUAGAAGUGGGGAAGACACAGCUGUGGGGCUUUAAAAAAGCAUACUAAAGAAACAGACCUUUUUAAAACUUGGUCUUGUGUUGAGAUUGAGUGGGGAAUGGAACAGAUCUGAGUUUAUCAUUUUGCAGUUAAUGUGGCACUGCUGUCAGCCAAUUCCAAAUUGUAUUGGUAUUUUAAGGUGUAUUCCCUCCCUUUCCCCCAGUCUGUAUUUUGCUUUAGUAACACCUCAGAUUGUUCCAGAGCAGUGCCCACUGUUUCUUUUGUUGGGAAAAGACCAUCUGAAGACCAGCUUGGUUUCAGUCUGUCAUACCUUUGUGCCAAGGACUUUGCUAUGAACCUGCUGUUCACAGCCUGAGGAGACACUGACUCUACCUAGUCACAUUUGCAAAAUUUCAACUUUGCUUUUCUUCUUCCUUUUUUGUUUUGUUUUUUCUUUUUCUUCCUUUUAGUUUGUGGAGAGUGCUCAUUCUCAGAGUUCACCAUAAAGGACAUUUGCCUUGUCUGUCUUCUCUGCUGGCCUCAGCAUCUCCUCAGCCUUAAAUUCCCAUGGGCAGGAGAGGAAGUUGAUGUGACAGCUCUGCUGCUCAAGGAAGCACUCUGAAUCAGAACUCUGUGACUCAGGGAGCUCCAGUGUGACUAGAUCUGAUUUAGGAUGUUUUGCAGAAGCCUCUAUCUGCACAGAGGGAUCCCCAUGCCUGAUGAGUUUGGUUUCUGAGCUGCAGAGUUGAUUUUGGUGGAAAGGGCUUUCCAGCAUGCCCUGCAGUGCCCUGUGUUGCCCAAAACCACCCUGAGAGGAUGCAAGAAUCCAGAAAUGGAGAAACAUUUCUCUGUUUGUCCUAUUCCCCAAAAAGGACCAUAAAGACAAAGUCUUCAAAGUCUGGCAGUGAGAAAUGAAGCAAACCUGAGUCAGAGACCUCUAUGUGCAAUGAGAUUUAUUGAGAUAAAAGAGACCACGGAGCAGUUUGAGGUGUGCAAGCUGCAGAAAGAACAAUCCUCCUGCUUACUCCUGUGCCACUUGGAAAUUUCCCAUCUAAUCCUGCAGCUAAGUGUGGUUAUCUUUAUAUGAAAGAAGCCAGGAGCAAGCAUAUGCUACUAUUGUGAAGAGCUGGUUAU